rnacentral:rRNA from 1 species
GUAGGGAAUCUUCCACAAUGGACGAAAGUCUGAUGGAGCAACGCCGCGUGAGUGAAGAAGGUUUUCGGAUCGUAAAGCUCUGUUGUUGGUGAAGAAGGAUAGAGGCAGUAACUGGUCUUUAUUUGACGGUAAUCAACCAGAAAGUCACGGCUAACUACGUGCCAGCAGCCGCGGUAAUACGUAGGUGGCAAGCGUUGUCCGGAUUUAUUGGGCGUAAAGCGAGCGCAGGCGGAAUGAUAAGUCUGAUGUGAAAGCCCACGGCUCAACCGUGGAACUGCAUCGGAAACUGUCAUUCUUGAGUGCAGAAGAGGAGAGUGGAACUCCAUGUGUAGCGGUGGAAUGCGUAGAUAUAUGGAAGAACACCAGUGGCGAAGGCGGCUCUCUGGUCUGCAACUGACGCUGAGGCUCGAAAGCAUGGGUAGCGAACAGGAUUAGAUACCCUGGUAGUCCAUGCCGUAAACGAUGAGCGCUAGGUGUUGGGGACUUUCCGGUCCUCAGUGCCGCAGCAAACGCAU